rnacentral:rRNA from 1 species
CCGCCCGUCACACCACGAAAGUCGUUUGCACCAGAAGUCGCUGAGCUAACCGCAAGGAGGCAAGCGCCCAAGGUGUGUGCGAUGAUUGGGGUG